rnacentral:rRNA from 1 species
AUGAACGCUGGCGGCGUGCCUAAUACAUGCCAGUCGAGCCAACAGACGAGGAGCUUGCUCCUCUGACGUUAGCGGCGGACGGGUGAGUAACACGUGGAUAACCUACCUAUAAGACUGGGAUAACUUCGGGAAACCGGAGCUAAUACCGGACAAUAUAUUGAACCGCAUGGUUCAAUAGUGAAAGACGGUUUUGCUGUCACUUAUAGAUGGAUCAGCGCCGCAUUAGCUAGUUGGUAAGGUAACGGCUUACCAAGGCAACGAUGCGUAGCCGACCUGAGAGGAUGAUCGGCCACACUAGACCUGAGACACGGUCCAGACUCCUACGGGAGGCAGCAGUAGGGAAUCUUCCGCAAUGGACGAAAGCUUGACGGAGCAACGUCGCGUGAGUGAUGACGGACUUCAGAUCGUAAAACUCUGUUAUUAGGGAAGAACAAAUGUGUAAGUAACUAUGCACGUCUUGACGGUACCUAAUCAGAAAGCCACGGCUAACUACGUG